rnacentral:lncRNA from 1 species
AUGCGUGUGCCAUUUGUUCUUCCUGCACGUGCCGAGCUGGAGGCUCGUGGUUGCUGUGCCAUUUCUCAGUUCCUGAGGGUUUUGUGCCUGCUGCCAGCUGUGCCCAGGGCUCCUGCUGCGUGCUGGAGCGAGUCCUUCGUCAGGCAUCGAGGGGAAGGACUUGGGAAGUUUCCAUAUCUGGGCCUGGGCCCCGAUGUCUGGAGUGCUGGAUUCACCAUACACCAGCAGCACAACGAUCAGCCGCUUCAUUCCAAGCACCUGCCUGCCUGCAAAACGUCCUUGCUCUGCGCUGAUGGCAGCCUUUGUGAUAGUUUCUGGGAAGCUGAUGCUCGCACGUGUGCCAGGGACUGGCUGGUGAGUGCAGACAGGAUUCCCUUCUGGACCAAGCCACCGACGAGAUGGGUUUUUUGCAGCUCCAGCUGCACAGGUACAAUGUAAGCUAAAUAUGCUGUCUGGUUUUCCGAAAGCUGAAAAAUGUCACUAUUGAUUACCUGGAAGCAAUCAGAAAUUUUCGUCAAAUUUUGAAAGAUUUUGGUGUGCUUUUCUUUUCGGUGGCUGCAUCGAAGUUCAGGGAAGGAAGGCUGCCCUCAUAGCUGGUGGUUAAUGGCAAUUCUGCAAAUAACUGACGCACGCAGACAUAGUUAAGACUGGAAGAAGGAGCCUUCAGAGACUACUAAAUAAGAAAGAAAGAGUGUUAGGCAGUUCCUGGAGUCUGUGAGAGUAUUUUAGAGAUAUACAGGUACAAAGUACGUGCUUUCCCUGCUCUUACACUUCUCUGUAGACGUCCAUUGCUGACCUUGGUCCCAGACAAUAGAAAUCUGGGUUUUAAUUUGGGAGACGUUCAGUGUAAGGGGAUUUGAUUUGCAUGUGUUCACCUGGGGCAGACAGCCCUCCUGUUCAUGAUUCACCUGAUGCAAGCACUUGAGUGCCAAGCACAACGCAAUCACCUGGUGGCUGGGACAGGUCUCGUGUGCUGGGGCGAGGACACCUGGUUCUCUUCUCAUGGGUGGGGAAGUAGUCCAUGGAAACAGGAGCACUGAGAGAGGGAGAGCAAAUUCUUUCCAAAUGUGAUAUAAAAUCAAGGUGAGAGCCCUUCUUCUGGGGUGGGCAGAGAGGGGAAUCAGGGACUUCAAUGCAAGCUACCUAUGUAUUGGCUGAAAAUCCUCAGGGCCAGGCUGCUGGGGGAAGGAGAAGCAACACAUCCUUACCCGAUGCUUCAUUGUAAUGAGAAAAACAGCUAAAAAACAUUUUGGGUCAUUGUAAACAAUUUUCUUUUCCAGUUUGGCUACUGAACUGAAAAAUCAAUUAUUCCUACAGCCCUGCUGGAGAUCUUGGGUUCAGUCCUUGAUUUGUCUGCCAAGGUUGCAGAGAAAAACAUUUGUAAGGCUGUAAUAGUAAAUCAGAUGCCUUUGUCUUCUAUAUGCUGCACUCCUAGGCU